rnacentral:rRNA from 1 species
GCGACUUAACUGAACCUUCGGGGAACGUUAAGGGGCGAGCGGCGGACGGGUGAGUAAUGCCUGGGAAUAUGCCCUGAUGUGGGGGAUAACUAUUGGAAACGAUAGCUAAUACCGCAUAAUCUCUUCGGAGCAAAGAGGGGGACCUUCGGGCCUCUCGCGUCAGGAUUAGCCCAGGUGGGAUUAGCUUGUUGGUGAGGUAAUGGCUCACCAAGGCAACGAUCCCUAGCUGGUCUGAGAGGAUGAUCAGCCACACUGGAACUGAGACACGGUCCAGACUCCUACGGGAGGCAGCAGUGGGGAAUAUUGCACAAUGGGGGAAACCCUGAUGCAGCCAUGCCGCGUGUAUGAAGAAGGCCUUCGGGUUGUAAAGUACUUUCAGUAGGGAGGAAGGCAGUGUCGUUAAUAGCGGCAUUGUUUGACGUUACCUACAGAAGAAGCACCGGCUAACUCCGUGCCAGCAGCCGCGGUAAUACGGAGGGUGCGAGCGUUAAUCGGAAUUACUGGGCGUAAAGCGCAUGCAGGCGGUCUGUUAAGCAAGAUGUGAAAGCCCGGGGCUCAACCUCGGAACAGCAUUUUGAACUGGCAGACUAGAGUCUUGUAGAGGGGGGUAGAAUUUCAGGUGUAGCGGUGAAAUGCGUAGAGAUCUGAAGGAAUACCGGUGGCGAAGGCGGCCCCCUGGACAAAGACUGACGCUCAGAUGCGAAAGCGUGGGGAGCAAACAGGA